UGGUGGGGUGACUUGUCUGCUUAAUUGCGAUAACGAACGAGACCUUAACCUGCUAAAUAGCCCGCAUUGCUCCGGCAGUGCGCUGGCUUCUUAGAGGGACCUUCGGCUCAAGCCGAAGGAAAUUUGAGGCAAUAACA
rnacentral:rRNA from 1 species